rnacentral:tRNA from 1 species
GGGCGCGUAGCUCAGUGGGAGAGCGCCGUCUUGACGAGGCGGAGGUCGGCGGUUCAAUCCCGCCCGCGCCCACCA